UCUCCUUCCUUUGAGCUAUGUACCUUCAAUCUUUGUUUCUAGUUAUCUCUAACAAUGUCUCCUGCUGCUCCUAUCUGGGUCUGGCUUCCUCUAGCUAUGGUUACUAAUGGACCUGGAUCUGCCUGCUAUGUACCCUGUGGAAUGUGGUGCUAUGGGACAAGGGCAUGCCUGUAAUGGAUGAUUCUUGUUUCUCCCAGCUGCCUGAUGCUUUGACCUUGCAACUUCACGUAUCAUACUGUUGUGGGGCAGAACAAAGGUGUAAAAUGGAACACAGGAAAGGAAUAGCCAAAAGCAACUUGAGCUCUUGAAUGAACUUGAGACAAAGGACCUUUCUUCUUUUAUGAACAUUGUGUUCAUUGGGAUUCACCUGAUGCAAUACUCUGUCAUUAACUCAUCAAAGGGCUGACUCCUUGGAGUUUCAUCAGCAGAAAGCCAGGAGACCAAAGCACUGGAAAUCAUUUCUGCAUUGCAAAGGAGAAAGCAGUCCAAUGGAUUAUAUGACAUGGCAGAUCUUGAAAGUACAGCACACAGAGGAAGGAAGGAGUGUCAUAAAUACAAGGGUAUUUGGCUGUUAUUUUUAGAGUUGACUGACAGAUAACCACGUAGCUGUGAUGUGUGUGGGGAGCACUAGUGGAAUAGUGCUGGAGAUGGUUAUAGUCUGAUGUAACUCCUGUGUGAUGACAACUCCCUGGCUUGUAGUUGGGCUUUAUCCCUGACAUGCAAUGUUCUACACGUCAGCUUUCUUUUGUUUUCCCCGGCUUGUUUCUCUUUGCUUUCCACACCAAACAACGAUGAACAAAUGGAAAUGAUCGUUUUAGUAGAUAAUGAAUGUCAUUUGUAUUUUUAUGCAUUCUACUUUCAGCAUAGGAGAAAUGUACUGUAUGGUUGGGCAAAAUGGGUGCCCACAAGUGGAAGGAAACCGAUUUUUUAUUUUUUUCAAGUGCAUGUUCCUUUCCUUUGGAACAAUGUAAGAGCCUUCUCAGCAUGGGGUUGCUCCGUGGUGGGUGGGUCACUGGUGUACAAACUGAAUACUCUUCCUACUCCUGUUCUCCAGAUCAAGGCUGACACACUUAGAAAAAGGCAGAACAAGCUCAAAGGAAGAUUUCAAAAGAGAAAUGCAUCCUUUUUCUCUGUGAACUCUGCUGCUUUUUGUCUGUGUUCCCAUCAAGGUCUCCUUUCCAGGUAUUAGUCAUGUAGUGCUCUGGAUAACAGUAAAUAAACAGUUCUGAGAAUUUCCUAUUGCA